rnacentral:rRNA from 1 species
UACAGAGGUCCCAAGCGUUGUUCGGAUUUACUGGGCGUAAAGGGUGCGUAGGUGGCGGGGUAAGUCUGGUGUGAAAGCUCCGAGCUCAACUCGGAAAAGCAUUGGAAACUAUCCCGCUGGAGGGUCGGAGGGGAGACUGGAAUUCUCGGUGUAGCAGUGAAAUGCGUAGAUAUCGAGAGGAACACCAGUGGCGAAGGCGGCUGACUGGUCCGGAUCUGACGCUGAGGCGCGAAAGCGUGGGGGAGCAAACAGG